GGCAGCAGCCGCGGUAACACCGGCGGCCCGAGUGGUGAUCGUGAUUAUUGGGUCUAAAGGGUCCGUAGCCGGUUUGGUCAGUCCUCCGGGAAAUCUGAUAGCUCAACUAUUAGGCUUUCGGGGGAUACUGCCAGACUUGGAACCGGGAGAGGUAAGAGGUACUACAGGGGUAGGAGUGAAAUCUUGUAAUCCCUGUGGGACCACCUGUGGCGAAGGCGUCUUACCAGAACGGGUUCGACGGUGAGGGACGAAAGCUGGGGGGCACGAACCGGAUUAGAUACCCGGGUAGUCCCAGCCGUAAACGAUGCUCGCUAGGUGUCAGGCAUGGCGCGACCGUGUCUGGUGCCGCAGGGAAGCCGUGAAGCGAGCCACCUGGGAAGUACGGCCGCAAGGCUGAAACUUAAAGGAAUUGGCGGGGGAGCACAACAACGGGUGGAGCCCUGCGGUUUAAUUGGACUCAACGCCGGACAACUCACCGGGGGCGACAGCAAUAUGUAGGCCAAGCUGAAGACUUUGCCUGAAUCGCUGAGAAGUGGUGCAUGG
rnacentral:rRNA from 1 species